rnacentral:lncRNA from 1 species
UUCUAAUCACGCGGUAUUUUGACUAUCUUGAAAGAUCCACACGAAAACAAACAAAAAUAUAGAAAAAGAUAUUUACAAAUUGUAAUUAAAAAAAAUAGCUAAUGAUAAAAAAGAAGAUGCAAUAAGGAUCAAGUCAUCCUAUUCUUUUCAUCAAACACCAAUAUAUAAUUCUCACUUUCAAUUUUCAGAAAACACGUUAGUUUCAGUCAUCACAAUAUUUGAAAGAAUGAGACCAAAUAUAGUUUCAUAUCUGCUAAUAUUUUUAUUAGUCAUGGUGAACUUUUGUGUAGAAGCAAGGUCCCUUCAAUAUUAUUCUUCCUAUGAGGAAUUGUUCAAAUCUCAACACAUGGUGGCUAGAGAGCUUAGAGGUUUAAAGAGGAAUAAGGGAAGAAUCAUACCAACACCAUCACCACCAAAACCUAAUUUGGUGAUUCAUUUUAGUCCUCCUCCUCCUCCUCUUCCUCCUCCUCCACUGACAGGGCCGGAGAUACAGUAUUAAGUAUGGGUUCAGAUGAACUCACUAGGUUUGUUAAGUAGUAUAUUUGUAUUAAGUAAAUGUAUUGAUGAAUAUGUAUAAGUAAUUAAUUGUGGUUCCAAUAAAUCAGACGAUGUAUGAAUUUGUUGACAAGUUCAAUAAACUUUUAAUUUUACUUUUCCACUCUGUCCACUAAUGUCCACAAACUAACCAUAGUCCUCCAAACUUGACGCCGCUAUGUUGCUAAUAGACUCAACACGCAAGGCGAAAUCAGGAUUUGAAGUUAAUAUGUUUAAAAUUUUAGUCGGUUAAAUUUUAUUAGGUUUAUAAGUUGAUGUUUUGUAUAUAUGGUGAAUAAAUUUUUAAUAUAAGUACAUAAUUUAAAUCUAAACAAUUGAAUUUCUA